rnacentral:rRNA from 1 species
GACGAACGCUGGCGGCGUGCCUAAUACAUGCAAGUAGAACGCUGAAGGAGGAGCUUGCUUCUCCGGAUGAGUUGCGAACGGGUGAGUAACGCGUAGGUAACCUGCCUGGUAGCUGGGGAUAACUAUUGGAAACGAUAGCUAAUACCGCAUAACAGUAGAUGUUGCAUGACAUUUGCUUAAAAGGUGCAACUGCAUCACUACCAGAUGCACCUGCGUUGUAUUAGGUAGUUGGUGUGGUAACGGCUCACCAAGGCGAGGAUACGUAGCAGAAAUGAGAGGGGGAUCGGCCACACUGGGACUGGGACACGGCCCAGACUGCUACGGGAAGCAGCAGUAGGGAAUCUUCGGCAAUGGACGGAAGUCUGACCGAGCAACGCCGCGUGAGUGAAGAAGGUUUUCGGAUCGUAAAGCUCGGUUGUAAGGGAAGAAAGAGUGUGAGAGUGGAAAGUUCACACUGUGACGGUAUCUUACAAGAAAGGAACGGCUAACUACGUG